CGAACGGGUGAGUAACACGUGAGCAACCUGCCUUUCAGUGGGGGACAACAUUUGGAAACGAAUGCUAAUACCGCAUAAGCGCACAGUGCUGCAUGGCACAGUGUGAAAAACUCCGGUGGUAUGAGAUGGACCCGCGUCUGAUUAGCUAGUUGGUGGGGUAACGGCCUACCAAGGCGACGAUCAGUAGCCGGCCUGAGAGGGUGAACGGCCACAUUGGGACUGAGACACGGCCCAAACUCCUACGGGAGGCAGCAUG
rnacentral:rRNA from 1 species